rnacentral:snoRNA from 1 species
GUGAUGAGCCAACCCCGGCACUGAGUUGUGAAGUAGUUUUAGAAUGCUGA